UGAUGGCGACCGGCGCACGGGUGCGUAACGCGUAUGCAACCUACCUUUUACAGGGGCAUAACACUGAGAAAUUGGUACUAAUUCCCCAUAAUAUCUGAGACGGCAUUCGGUUUUGGGUUGAAAACUCCGGUGGUAAAAGAUGGGCAUGCGUUGUAUUAGCUAGUUGGUGAGGUAACGGCUCACCAAGGCGACGAUACAUAGGGGGACUGAGAGGUUAACCCCCCACAUUGGUACUGAGACACGGACCAAACUCCUACGGGAGGCAGCAG
rnacentral:rRNA from 1 species